GUGGCGCAAUGGGCACAGAGGACGUGCUUCCACUGAGAGAGAGAGAGUAGUUCUAGUGUUGCCUGGCCACAAUGCGGGUGUAAAAUGGCGCAGAAGAGGAUGUAGUGCGUCGGGGCAAAGGGAGUACCUGGCGAAGGGGCUCCGAAGGCAGGCUUGAAAUCCAGCCUUAGCUGCCAGUGCGGUGCCAACACGAUGUGGCAGCCUCAGAACUUGGAACCACCACAUCCAUCACAUUUCCUAAAGAAAAUACGCCUUAAAUAACUUGACACGAUGCGAAUUGAGCCGCAGCCAGUGUCAAGUAAAAAAGUCCUCUCCAAAUACCCCGAGGGACAAAACUAUGUGCCUCUGAGAAGGUCCCAGAAUGGACAGAUGGAGUUUGGGAGGUCAGUGACGAGUAGGAACCGGGAGCCUCCUCCUUCACCACUCUACCCAAAGAAGACCAUUUGGGGAACAUGCACCUAGUGAUGAAGAUCUGGGCGCUGACAUUAGCCACAGCGGAAUCAGCAAAGCCCCAACCUCUUCCUUCCCCUUCAAUAAGCAUUCCAGUUUCUUCUGCCCCUCAAAAUUCCCCUUUGCCCUCUUAAUUUAUGACCGCAUAACACGGUAAAAUCUGGCUCCUCCCUCGAAGAUAGUCAGUUAUGAUCACGUGGCAAGUCAUUUUCAGAAACAAGAAUGAACACUUGCCUAUCAAACUGUUCGCUGUUGAUAGUCACACCUUCAUGGGAAAAUAAUUUGAAUCUGAUUAACCUGUCUAACCUUAAUGAAAUUAACAGAAGUCAUGUAGUAAUAGGUUUAAGCCAGCAUCACACUCUGUGUACCUCCAUGAGCAUUUUUGUCUUUGUGUGGAUGGCCAAAGUUGGAAGAGCAAUGGCAACUAUCUUAACACCUGCCCUAGCAUGCCAGUCCGGCUAUCCAGAAUCACAAGGCAGUAUGCUGUGACUUUGAAUGGUCUAGAAGGAUAUUACCAUAUUUGUCUUAAUUGUCUGCCUAAAUCCUUUUGAGAAAAAUGGUUUAGAGUCCAUUACAUCCAAGAAGACCAGUCACUGUCUUUUGUGAGCAAAAUAAUUUUGAAUGCUGUUUGACGCGGAGGGAAAUUUUUUCUGAUUUCAUUAAUGUGCUGUCAUUUUGAUCUGGUGUCUGGUGUAUGAUUGUGGACCAGUAGCUUUUUUUUUUUUGUUGCUGGUACUUCCUUUGCUUAUUUUACCUGUGCAUUUUAUCCAUUCCUCACCAUUAUCAUUUCAUCCCAUAUAGCUAAUGUAAGGGGUAUGCAUUGCAUGAACCAAGUAGACAUUUUGAGUUAAAGGGUGCGAUGGGGGUCAUCCGAUGACCUUUCCAUUGAAGUUGUUUUGGUUUGGCCUGCCCACGGGAUGUUUCUGGCCACUUCGCCAGCACCCGAGGGCCUAGAGGUGAAGCCUUUUCUUUAAGCGGAAUCGUGCAAUACAUAAUUUCUUUCUUUUUUCUUUCCUGUUGCUGUUAUAAAUAUGUAAAGAAAAAAAGAUAAUUGUGAAACAAGUGACAAGUUGUUUUGAAACAACAAAAUCACCAACGUCUUCCAUUAAAAGAUGUAUAGUCCCAUGCGCAUUAGCUUACUAGCAGUACAGUAGUGCCAACAUAUCUGGCCAUGCAUGAAAAGUAGUGAUGCAUGCUGAAUACAGUAAUUAUAGUAAUAUUUUAUAAUUGUAAAAAGUGAAAAUAUAGAGGCUCCUCUCUUACUGAGCAUAGUUACUAACCAGGCUGGAGAGUCCUUUCUCGCAGGAGUCUGAGACUAGAUUAAGGAGUGAAUCCACAAGUUUAUAGGCCUUGAUUAUACUACUUAUAAUUAACAAUAGAGAUAUGGGUCUGUGCCAGGGCGAAAUUGGCCAUCACGUUUUCGUUCAUGUUGUGUCCCGCUGUAGUUCGUAGCAGGAUUUGGACACACGGUAUCCCCUAGCAUUUACCUGUAUGGAGAAAUGAACGUUUCUGAUGUUGCUGUAAUUUAGAAGCCAAAAUGCAUCCCAUUCAUACAUUGUUUUUUUAUGUUCUAGAACGCUUUUUUUUUGUAUUAUGUAAGUAUAAUUUUGUAAUGUUUAAAUACUGUGUAAGCCCCCUUUUCUCUUAAGCCUGAGGGUGUGACAGCAUUCAUUAUACAAAAAUGCUUUGCCUUUAACGAUAUAUCGUUUUCAGAGACAAGGGGACACAGUGUGCGUCAGACUCGCAAAACAAAUUGUGUAAAACUGUAGCACAGAUGUUCAAUCAUCAAUCGUUGAAUUGUAAUUUUCUUUCGUCAAAGUGGUGCCGUUCCUUGGACGAGACACAUCUCCAAUGACUUGACCAGCUCCCCGCUUAGCACCACAUAUGUGCGUUUUCACAAAAUGUUUUCUUGGUGGUGGGGGGCUGCAUUUCCCCUUUUGAUAUUGACAUGUUAGAAAUGUAAAAGCUUUAUACAUCAUAAAAGGGAAUCUCGGACACGAUCGGGGAUGUGUCUCCUGGAUUGGCACACUUCCGACAACUAACGAUAAAUUGUAGCUUCAAAUUAGCAUUGUAGCAUAACAUAGCGUAGUGUAGAGUAGCGCUUAAGUCAUUAAGUGAAAAAACGUAUACUGUAAUGUAGAUAAAUACCUCAAGGUUUGGAAUGCAGAACAUCUUGUUAGGACAUCUCUAAUGCAAAUUAAGCCAUAAUGCAUACAUAUAUCUAGGCCUAUAUAUACAUAUAUAGUUAUUUAGGACUUUAGAAGCAAUAAAAAUGUUAUGCAUGAUUUUAGUGCCAGGAUGAUUAUUGUUUCUGUGGAGUGGCAACUCUUAGCAAAUUGUAGUUGUGGUUGAAUUUUUGUAGCAAAGCAACUGCUUUGUGUAAAUCUGACUUUAGAAUAGAUGGGGGUAAGAAACUCAGAUAUAGGGGAUUUUGUGCCAAUGGUUAAUGGACGCGUUUUUUGUGCCGUCUUUUGACAGGCUGCAUUAUUCCAGUGAAUGAACUUGCACAAUGAUUUCACCAUAGACCUAUGAAAAUCAGCAUAAUCCUUUGAAUAUGGAAAUGUAAUAAUCCUGGGUGAAUAGUGUGACAUCUGUAAGACAUUUAUAAGCGGUGUGUGGAUUUUUGAUAACCUUGUAGCUUUUCAUUUAUGUGUUGCAUUGUUAAACAAGAGAACGUGUGCAGUGGGAUUGCAAGCCCUUAUCUCACAUUCAAGGGCCGUCCAACUGUACACACAAGUUUCCAUCAGAUCACAGCUUGGCACACUGCUAAGAUGGAUCUAGGCAGAACAGAUUGUUCUGAGGUUUAAUGCAUGUUUACAUGGCUAAAUGUUGUGGUUUAGCUGGAUGAAACUAAUCACAUGCACAAAUAUAUGAAUAUAUAUGCAUUUUAUUAUGAUUGAAAGCAAUAGGAUUUAUGUAGUGAUCUUACAUUGCAUUAGUUUUUUUUUAUCCUUUUGUCUUAAGGAUUUAGUUCUGACACAAAACUGUAUGUCAGCCGUCACCACAGUAACGGAGGGCCUGUGGAGGCUGAUGUGGGGAGAUGUGCGCGGUUUACCGAGCCGAGGUGGUCGCUAACGCGCUUGAACAAAACUGCAAACUAUGUACUUGUGAAUCGGUUUACUGCUAGCGAGGAUCAGCGUGUUGGUUGUAAAGUAGGAUGGGUUUCAUGUUUACUAAAUCUCACAGUACUGUCUUUUCACAUCUCUAACACUUUGUGUGGGGGUGGGGGAGGGGAGGGGCGAUUUGGGACACUGCAGCUACAUCUGUACAAUUAGAAUUUAUGCACAGAGUAUAUGCUAAAGUACUAAAGAAUGCGGACGAGAACCCUGUCAAGUGCAUGAGAAGCAAAAUAGGAAACCUAGUGAAGCAUGCAAUAUUCUAGUAUUUGGAAAACCAUGAUUGCUCUUAAAGUUGACUGUCAAUUGUAAUAAGAAAUGUUUGAAUAAAAUAAUAGGAGAUUU